rnacentral:lncRNA from 1 species
GGGCGCGCGGGGAGCUCAGUCCCCUGGCGUGGGCACAGGCAAGGUGAGGGCUCUGCGGGCGCGCGCCCUGUGGUGGGGCCAUGCUCCGCCCUGGGUCCCUACCCUGGUGGAGGCGCCUGGGCCCUCAGUGCCGUCCUGGGACAGACCUGUGUCCCUAAGGCCUGAGACGCUGGGCCCGCCCUGAAGGCGUGUCAUCACGCGGGGGGCGGGAGGGGACCCUGGCCAGGCAGUGCCUGAAUGAACCCGUUCCGUGCUGCCCCCUUCCCAGCCCUGAGCAUGGGGACGCCAGGCUUCCAGCCACAGGGGCAGACUAACCCCGGAGCCCACUCCCUGCCUGGGUCUGUGUGAGGAAGAGCCCGGGCCGGAGACUAGGAGGCAUGGAACAAAGUGUUUGCAUCUGCGUGGCCGCAUCAGGAGAAAUUCCUGGGAGGCUCGGGACCUCGGGGCGACCCCUGGGUAAAGCAAACCCUCCGUGGGGAAGACUGACCCACUCAGGCCCUGGGGGCAAGUGCGUGCAUGACACCGGCCUUGGCAGGUGGGGGCAGGACUCUGAGUCCCAGUAUUUGAAUUCAGGGUCCCCACCCUGUGGCCUGCCAGCCCUGCCCCCUGUCUCUUGGGCUGCUGGCCUGGGCUGCCUGUCUGUCCUUCCUCAGGGCCUCAGCCGGGACCACCUCUAUGUCCCCAGGCCCAUGGCAGGGUCUGAUUCCUGGAACUCACCCGGCCCACCGUGGUCUCUUCUCUUAGAUCCUGGUGUUGGGUGGUGUUGGCUGCGUGCCACACUGGGGCCCCCAAAGAUAAGAGUGCACCCCUCGAAGACAAGCAGGAAAGGCCGGGCUGAUGAAAAACCUGGCAGCCCUCUACCCUCUUUUCAGUGCAUUUGGGGCCUGGCUGGAAGGCCCCUCCGGUGAGUUUGCGAAGGUGGGAGGCGGCAGUGCCAACCCCAGGGCAGGAUUUCUCCGCUGAAGAGGUGUUGUCAUGGGGACGUGAGGCUUUGACCCCCACUAGGGCUGGCCCACCUCCUGCCCUGUCCCUACUACCCAUCCACUUCCCACCACAUGCUCCUGCUCUGCUCUCAGAGCCCAGCCUGGGGUGCUGCCUCCCAGCCAGCUGCCCAGGCCAGGCGCCCUUCUCCCCACUGCUGACCUUCUCUUGAGCACACAAGACAGGGACCUGGGUAACAACCCAUUUCUGGGCUGGGUUUGGGUCAACUUGGGGGCAGGGCCGCCCAGGGCACCUUGGGGCACACAGUGGCACUCAGUGGCUGCACCGAGUGGAGGCCUGUUUCUUCAGGCGGGUGGGCUGGUGGGCCUCACGGGGGUCGCUGAGCAGUGCUGGAAACGCUCAGGCCCGUCCUCGUCCCAGAGAGUCAGAGCUCAUGGGCCUGGGGCGUGGCUGGCAGUGGGCCAGACCCUGCUCAUGGCCCAGAGAGGCCACACUUCCUCGGGCCUGUACCCUGCUGACCAGCCUCGGCCUGCACCCUGUGCAGAUUUUCAGCCG